GGCUGGUACGUUCUGUCUCGCAUGGGGAUCCUUUACUUGUUGCAUGGCAGCCUCUGUCACCACACUGAACUCAUACACGAAAACAGUCAUCGAGUUUCGACACAAACGGAAACUCUUCGAGCAAAGCCUCAGGGAAGAGCAGAUGUUCAUCGAUCGGGAGGCUAUCAACUAUUUUAGGGAAAGAUCAAUUCAGUCCAUAUCGAGUUCGGUCGAAGUCUUUGCAGACCCUGCCACAAGCACAACUAAAUCACUUGUGCCAGAUCCAUUGGACUUGAGUGAAAUCCCGGAAGUGUUAGGAGAGGACCAAUGUUAAAGCAGCUUUUAUUGACUUCCAAGCAACCUCCAUGCCUGGGAGGUGUUCACUGUAAACACUUUAAUUCAUGUGUACACUGAAUAAGCAGCAAGAUUAGACUGAACUAUCCCUUUUGUCAGUGUACAUCACCCGUGUCAAUAUUUAAACUAUUUGAUCAUUGGGAAACCAUGAGACAAUGUCAGUGUGGAUAAUGCUUAGACCUGUUAAUUUUUUUUUUAACAUUUUUAUUAGGGACAUGUUAUUCUAAUGCAAAAUUAUUCACACUGUUAAUGUAAAUGCCAAAAUCCAUCGUUCCUGUAGGUUUAAUGCACACCAUCUUUUUUUUGACUGUUUAUUCAGAAGUAACCAUCCAGCCUUCUAAAUUCUCUUUAUUGAUUUGCUGACCGAUUUGGAAGCACAGAAUUUGGUUUUAUAUUCAGAAUGAUCAAUGAUACCAAUGUACCUUCUAUUUUUUUGUGCAAAAUAAUUAUUCUAGUUGUGAACCAACUUUUGUACUUGAUUCAUCUUUUAGUCAAAUUCCUGAAGAAUAUUUUUCCCAGAUUGCACUGCAACCCUGAGAUUGCUGUUUUAUAUCAUUCGCCUUCAGGCAGAAUGGCCACACAUGAUUCCUGUGGAAAGUAACAAGAGUCCAUAAAUCUAGGAAGGCAAAAACCAAAAAACACCAAGCUCUCAAAAGAAAUAGUCAGGAAUCAUGCUGGAGAAAAAGGCACCUACUGGUAAAAUCCAUCAAUACCUUAAUUAUUUCAGCAAAUAAUUAAUCUAACUAGCUUCAUCAGUGAAAAGAGACCAACAGAUGUCACUCUAUUGCAAACAAAAUGGCAGAAAAGUGGAUUUGGUCAGUGUCACAAAAUGGCUGACAUGGAUCAGUCAUAGAAUCACCCAAUGUGGAAGCAGGCCAACCCUGUCCAUUGAGUCCACACUAAUCCUCCAAACAGCAUCCCAUGCAGACCUACCCCAUCUUUGUAGCCCUCCAAUCCCUAUGUCAAAUCCACACAACCUGCACACAUUUGGACUGUGGGGGGGAGGGGGGCGGGGACACUGGAGCACCCAGAUGAAACCCACAC